rnacentral:rRNA from 1 species
AGUCGAACGAGAUGCUUCGGUGUCUAGUGGCGAACGGGUGAGUAACACCUAUAGUUACCUGCCUGAACCCGGGGGAUACGCUUGGGAAACCGAGUCUAAAACCCCAUAGGGAAGAAGAUGGCAUCAUCAUCUUUUGAAAAGAGCGCUAGCUCUGGGGACAGAUGGAUCUGCGGUGCAUUAGUUAGUUGGCAGUAUAAGAGACUACCAAGACGAUGAUGCAUAGCCGGCCUGAGAGGGUGUACGGCCACACUGGGACUGAGACACGGCCCAGACUCCUGCGGGAGGCAGCAGUAGGGAAUUUUCGUCAAUGGGCGCAAGCCUGAACGAGCAAUGCCGCGUGAGUGAGGAAGGUCUUCGGAUCGUAAAGCUCUGUUGUAAGGGAAAAAGGGAUAUAAGAGGAAAUGCUUAUAUUUUGAUGGUACCUUACCAGAAAGUCACGGCUAACUACGUGCCAGCAGCCGCGGUAAUACGUAGGUGGCGAGCGUUAUCCGGAAUGAUUGGGCGUAAAGGGUGCGCAGGCGGCAUGUCAAGUCUGAAGUGAAAGGUACCAGCUUAACUGGUACAGGCUUUGGAAACUGGCAUGCUAGAGGACAGGAGAGGGCGGUGGAACUCCAUGUGUAGCGGUAAAAUGCGUAGAUAUAUGGAAGAACACCAGUGGCGAAGGCGGCCGCCUGGACUGUUGCUGACGCUCAGGCACGAAAGCGUGGGGAGCAAAUAGGAUUAGAUACCCUAGUAGUCCACGCCCUAAACGAUGAGGAGCAGGUGUCGGGGGUAGAGCCCCGGUGCCGAAGCCAACGCAGUGACUCCUCCGCCUGGGGAGUAUGCACGCAAGUGUGAAACUCAAAGGAAUUGACGGGGGCCCGCACAAGCGGUGGAGUAUGUGGUUUAAUUCGAAGCAACGCGAAGAACCUUACCAGGCCUUGACAUGGGAUGCGAAGGUGCAGAGAUGCGCUGGAGGUUAUCAUCCACACAGGUGGUGCAUGGUUGUCGUCAGCUCGUGUCGUGAGAUGUUCAGUUAAGUCUGGCAACGAGCGCAACCCUCGUGAUAUGUUGCUAACAUUCAGUUGGAGGACUCAUAUCAGACUGCCGGUACAACCCGGAGGAAGGUGGGGGAUGAACGUCAAAUCAUCAUGCCCCUUA